rnacentral:rRNA from 1 species
UACGAAGGGUGCAAGCGUUAAUCGGAAUUACUGGGCGUAAAGGGUGCGUAGGCGGUUGUUUAAGUCUGUCGUGAAAUCCCCGGGCUCAACCUGGGAAUGGCGAUGGAUACUGGACAGCUAGAGUGUGUCAGAGGAUGGUGGAAUUCCCGGUGUAGCGGUGAAAUGCGUAGAGAUCGGGAGGAACAUCAGUGGCGAAGGCGGCCACCUGGGACAACACUGACGCUGAAGCACGAAAGCGUGGGGAGCAAACAGG